AGGAUCAUUAUUGAAAUAAAUCUGAUAAGUUGCUGCUGGNNNNCUAGGGAGCAUGUGCACACUUGUUAUCUUUGUAUCUUNACCUGUGCACCUUUUGUGGACCUGGGAAUCUCUCUGAAAGCUUUAGUUAGCACUCAGGAUUGAGAAUUGGCUAGAUGUCUUUUCUUACAUUUUCAGGUUUAUGUUUUUUCAUAUACCCUAAUGUAUGUUCAUAGAAUGAAAUUAAUGGGCCUUUUGUGCCUAUAAACAUUUACAACUUUCAGCAACGGAUCUCUUGGCUCUCGCAUCGAUGAAGAACGCAGCGAAAUGCGAUAAGUAAUGUGAAUUGCAGAAUUCAGUGAAUCAUCGAAUCUUUGAACGCACCUUGCGCUCCUUGGUAUUCCGAGGAGCAUGCCUGUUUGAGUGUCAUUAAUAUCUAUCAACCUUUUAUGGUUGGAUGUGGGCUUGCUGGUUUUUCUUGAGGUCAGCUUCCCUUAAAUGCAUUAGCGGACAACAUUUUGCCAACUGUUCAUUGGUGUGAUAAAAUUAUCUACGCUAUUGACGUGAAGCAAGGUUCAGCUUCUAGCAGUCCAUUGACUUGGACAAAUUUAUUUUAUUAAUGUGACCUC
rnacentral:rRNA from 1 species